UACGGAGGGUGCAAGCGUUAUCCGGAUUCACUGGGUUUAAAGGGUGCGUAGGCGGCCAACUAAGUCAGACGUGAAAUCCCUCGGCUUAACCGGGGAACUGCUCUGAUACUGGAUGGCUUGAGUUCGGGAGAGGGAUGCGGAAUUCCAGGUGUAGCGGUGAAAUGCGUAGAUAUCUGGAGGAACACCGGUGGCGAAGGCGCAUCCUGGACCGACACUGACGCUGAGGAGCGAAAGCGUGGGGAGCGAACAGG
rnacentral:rRNA from 1 species